GGACGGCAGCACGGGGAGCUUGCUCCCUUGGUGGCGAGUGGCGAACGGGUGAGUAAUGUAUCGGAACGUGCCCAGUAGCGGGGGAUAACUACGCGAAAGCGUGGCUAAUACCGCAUACGCCCUACGGGGGAAAGGGGGGGAUCGCAAGACCUCUCACUAUUGGAGCGGCCGAUAUCGGAUUAGCUAGUUGGUGGGGUAAAGGCCUACCAAGGCUGCGAUCCGUAGCUGGUUUGAGAGGACGACCAGCCACACUGGGACUGAGACACGGCCCAGACUCCUACGGGAGGCAGCAGUGGGGAAUUUUGGACAAUGGGGGCAACCCUGAUCCAGCC
rnacentral:rRNA from 1 species